UCCAUCCCAACCUCGCGCUAGGGUUAGCGCCGGCGCCAGCCCCAGCCCGCCCCUUGGCUCCUCGGCCGCCGCUCGUCUUCCUUAGCAGCACCUGGUCGCCGUGGUUGCCUCCUCCCACCGCUGGUCCGCCUCCGCCAUCUUGACCUCUCAGCACCACGCCAGCGUGCUGCCGUCCGCCCUCGAUGGGAUCGAUGUCGACGAGAUUCCGUCAUCGAUAUAUAUCUUGACAAGGUAUGAGGUACGAGGUCAGCCCAUCGUGAUCUUUGCGUUUUUCGCUCGAUGUCAUUGGUUUCUCCUCAUCGGCUAAAACAAGCAGCUUCGCCGCCGACAUCUAGAUGAGAGAAACGAUCCCAUCAGGCCGAACAGCGAGAGGAACAAUUCCAUCAGGUCGAAUGUCGAGCAGCAGCCAUGCAUGCGUGACGCAUACGGUAUCAUGCCUGCCGAGUGGUACUGUCGCUUUAACUCGGAUGCAGUAGUACGCACGUACUCCUCUUUCUGAUCAGGUAAGUGAGCACUCGGAUCCCUGCUCAUUGAUAGCAUAAGUGGCUGCUUCAAUCAAUGGUAUAAAGGACCUUGGAUGAUCACAUCCUAUGCAUGUAUUAGUAAUUUGUAUAGGGGACUUGAUUGAUUCUACGAACUUCAUAUGCUUCUCUGCAAUCGACAAUUUUUUUUCUGUGUAAUCAUGCCGCUGAUGGUUUAUUUUAUAUAGAUUAAUUUUAAAGUAGGAAACAAUACUAUGAUUAUUAAGAUUUAACAUAAAGGAAGGUUUGAUGAUGUCGACUGCCGCUACAUGAAGCCCCGGCGCUGGGGCCGCCCCACUGAACGCCACUGUUGUAGGACAAAAUCCCAACGCCCCUCGAUCAUUCAUGGCAUGUAGACACUAUCGGCUCGCGACUAGAUAUGACCGCAGCACCUGGACAACAAUCACUUGUGACUGGACACGACUGCCACACCUGGACGAGAUGAUGCCUCACGUCUGAGCAGCUUGACUAAACAAACAAAUCAGGGAGCACCGAGGCCAACCAUUUGGUCCUUCAGUACAACAUGCAUCAGCAAAAUUUUACGAAGGUGGGAGUACAAUAUAAUAUGGUAUGAAUAAUUGGCGAAUGAUGCAACAUCAGUUCUUCUUGUGCUGAUUCAGGAAUGCGGUCAAGGCAGGUGCUCUAAUAAGGUCAAGACAGGUGUUCUUCUUGCAGCUAAGUAUUCUUGGCGUAGUUUAUUCCCAGUUUUACAGUCAAAGAUCAUUCUCAUUUGUUCCUUCACAUAUAAACUAAAAUGCUACAAAAUUGCCCCGUUGUUAAAUUUUUGGACAUGUUUUAUUUCUUCGUAACAUAUUCAAUAAAUAUUGAACUAAUCUCAUAUUUAGAUCAUAUGUAAUUGAUUAAGCUGCAGAUUCAUUCCAAUUAGAAGGUACACAUGAAUGCAUUCUUUGUCUUUUCACUUUAAGAACAGUGAUAUAACUUUGUCUUUGAUGAUUUAUUGCCAUCCUUUCCUUUGUCGCGGAAUUACCAGAUACACAAAAGGGAGGAGUCAAAGCUUGUGAAGAAAUGUAGCACUUACAUUUUGUUGGCGGAUGAUGAUGAUGAGAUUGACAACCACACGACGAGCUCGCCGAGUGCAUCCUCUAAGGGUACAAAGCUUUUUCGGAGGAAGAAUGAAGGCCAAGAGGAUGGGAAUGAUGAUGGAAACAAUAGAAAUUAUUUCCAAAAAGAGUCUGAAGGAGAACACAAUAAAUGGAUGAUGAAGGCGGUGUCGACACUCUUGAUGUAUUCCAUUCUUUCCAGGAUCUGAUCUUUUUUGUACAUGAAAACACAUAGAUAUGGAAUGGCCAAUUAAAAU